rnacentral:rRNA from 1 species
AUACGGAGGAUCCGAGCGUUAUCCGGAUUUAUUGGGUUUAAAGGGUGCGCAGGCGGGAGAUUAAGUCGGCGGUGAAAUUUUGCAGCUCAACUGUAAAAGUGCCUUCGAAACUGGUUUCCUUGAGUGUAGAUGAAGUAGGCGGAAUUUGGGGUGUAGCGGUGAAAUGCAUAGAUAUCACGAGGAACUCCGAUUGCGCAGGCAGCUUACUAAACUACUACUGACGCUCAGGCACGAAGGCGUGGGGAUCAAACAGGAUUAGAUACCCUGGUAGUCCACGCAGUAAACGAUGAUUACUAGCUGUUUGCGAUACAAUGUAAGCGGCUGAGCGAAAGCGUUAAGUAAUCCACCUGGGGAGUACGUUCGCAAGAAUGAAACUCAAAUGAAUUGGCGGGG